rnacentral:rRNA from 1 species
AUUGAACGCUGGCGGCAGGCUUAACACAUGCAAGUCGAGCGGCGAUGAGGUGCUUGCACCUUAUCUUAGCGGCGGACGGGUGAGUAAUGCUUGGGAAUCUGCCUAUUAGUGGGGGACAACACUCCGAAAGGCAUGCUAAUACCGCAUACGACCUACGGGAGAAAGCAGGGGAUCUUCGGACCUCGCGCUAAUAGAUGAGCCUAAGUCGGAUUAGCUAGUUGGUGGGGUAAAGGCCCACCAAGGCGACGAUCUGUAGAGGGUACGAGAGGAUGAACCGCCACACUGGGACUGAGACACGGGCCAGACUACGAAGGGGGGCAGCAGUGGGGAAUAUUGGACAAAGGGGGAAACCCUGAUCCAGCCAUGCCGCGUGUGUGAAGAAGGCCUUAUGGUUGUAAAGCACUUUAAGCGAGGAGGAGGCUACUGAGACUAAUACCCUUGGAUAGUGGACGUUACUCGCAGAAGAAGCACCGGCUAACUCUGUGCCAGCAGCCGCCGUAA